UUUGAGUUCUUACUGUCAUGUCUCAAGUGUCCAGUAGCUGUGGAAAACAUCCUUUGAGAACAGGUUUAGUUUUGUAUUUUGGCCAACCUGGGUGGUAGUGCUUGCUCAGGUGUCAGGAGGCGACUCCAGGGAGGCUUACACUGCUCUAAUUUUGGACUUUCAUUGCUUGGACAGCUUCUAUCCUACUGCCUCUGCUCUUUCAUCUCAGCUUUGCAUUUCUCCACCUCUGUGGUCCUGACCUGCUUAAUUUCACCUGACAAAACCAAGGACUGAUUUGUAGCUGACAAAACUGCCUUGACUGGCUCACUGCAACUUGGUUGCAUGCACAGCAGUGCUGGUGCAGAGAAAGGGGCAGUAGCAUGUGGCUGGGAGCUGCACAGAGGCAGUGCAGCCUACAGUUAGAUAGGCUUAAGCAGUUUCAUCAUCCUUUAGAUAGGUUAUUGACUAUAUACUGUGACUCCUUGAUGGCCAAAGGGUUUUCAGGUAUUGCGGGGUAAUGCUGGGGGAUGAGAGCGCUUUUGUUUGUUUGGAAGGAAAGGGUUGGAAGUAGCAACUAAGCAGUGAAUUUUCAUUUAACAUGACAUUAGAUAAUGCGUUACUAACCUCCAAGUCUGGAGCCCCCAUAUGUCUUGUUGUAACUGCAUAACCCAGUCAGGAGCUUGCUGCCUGAAUGUGUUUGUGUUGGCAGAAGUUCUUAAGGUCACUAAUGCUGUGAUACUGGCCUGCAAGACCCCUGCUGCUGCCACCCAGGCCCCUGGGCUUUGUUCUCUCCCACCUCUUGGACUAGUUCCUCUUUCAGCAGCUGCCAUCAUGCUACCAAACCUUCCCAUGCUUGUUGUUUAUGUGCAGCAUCCUUUCCUCAGCCCCUUGCCUCCAAGGUUGUGGCAGCUCUGUGGAUCUGCUGGAACCAGAGGCUCAUGGCCUGGGAGGCUGGGGCAGAGCAGAGAGAACAGAGCUGUAGCUCUCUAAAAACUCACACAUGUCUCACCAGAGAAUGACUGGACAGUGGCAGUCCCCAUUGCAGAGUAUAAAUUAGGACUUUGUUUUAGCCACAUACUGUAGUAGAUUUGAGCCUGGGUCAAAAGCUGAAGCUCCCUUGAGAGCUUCCAACAAAUCAUUAUGCCUAUUCAUGCCUCAGUCUACUCUCCAGAAAUACUGUAACCUUAUUCCCUGACUCCUCUUAUAGAGGUACAAGGAUUACGCAAUUGUCACUGCAGUGAUGCCAAGGACAGAGGACUGGCCUUAUACUGACUGCUCUGCCAAGGGAGACUGGCUACUACACCAAAGAAUUUAAAGUCAAGAUAAGUUUUCCAAGGGCUGGAGGUGCUCUUAUUUUCUUUCAUUUGUGUGUUUAGUCUUUACUUGCCUUCCCUAAUGGCCUUUGAGCUAACCAUUUGGCUGCUGUUCUUCUGAGUGUUUUGGGGAUAAGAGUUCAUAUUUGUUCAAAGCUUGUUGACCUCGGAAUCACAACAUGCUGCUGGUGGUGG
ensembl:lncRNA